UGUCCAAUGCGGGAAUCGAACCCGGGUCCUAGCGAUCAAAAACCAACGGUUUAGACCACUAGACCACCGAC